rnacentral:lncRNA from 1 species
CCCCACCCUGUGGUGUUGCAGGUGUGGUUCCUGCUUGGAGAGGUUAUAAUGAAUUAGUGGGCUCACUUAUGAGUAGGUUUUUAUCUCGAAAGGAGCACCUGUGGGGACAGGUGUCUGAGCUUUGGUUUGUGUGGUUCAGAGAACCCGAUGUGCAGGCAUGUGGUGGGCAGGUGGUUUGAGCCUGGGUGUCUUUGCUUUCCUCUGAUUUUUUUUUGUGUUCUUUUGUUGAAGUCACCACAGAAUGAGGGAAAUUGUUGAACCAUCAUGGUGUUGAAGAUGCAGCUUUGUAUGAGGCCUAAUAUCGACUAUACUGACUGGAGCAAGCCCAAGCUGGAGGGGUGUUUUGGUGUAUUUGUCACUAAUCUCCAGAUUUUUCAACAAGUGCAAAGAAUAAAGCACUAA